GAGGUUUUGAGAACCUGAGUUGAUAAAAUAUUGAUAACCAUUCAAAAACUAAUAAAAAACGGGAACUGUUAAGCUCCCGUUAUUGUU
rnacentral:sRNA from 1 species